AUAAAAGCGUAGAGAGGAAAACAAGUAGUUGUUAUCUCCCUGUAAUCAGAGAGUCGAUGGAUGGUGUGAAUCGACACAAAGAUAACACGAAAUACACGCCUUGAGCUUUCUUUGCGAAUUGCCGCAAGGAACGGGUUGACCGUUAAUCGUAGAGCGGAAGAAUCAUAUUCUUCAAUAAGGGUGGUACCGCGUGUAAAAGUUUAACCACGUCCCUUUU
rnacentral:ncRNA from 1 species